rnacentral:rRNA from 1 species
UGGGGAAUAUUGGACAAUGGGCGAAAGCCUGAUCCAGCCAUGCCGCGUGUGUGAAGAAGGUCUUCGGAUUGUAAAGCACUUUAAGUUGGGAGGAAGGGCAGUAAGCGAAUACCUUGCUGUUUUGACGUUACCGACAGAAUAAGCACCGGCUAACUCUGUGCCAGCAGCCGCGGUAAUACAGAGGGUGCAAGCGUUAAUCGGAAUUACUGGGCGUAAAGCGCGCGUAGGUGGUUCGUUAAGUUGAAUGGGAAAGCCCCGGGCUUAACCUGGGAACUGCAUCCAAAACUGGCGAGCUAGGGUAGGGCAGAGGGUGGUGGAAUUUCCUGUGUAGCGGUGAAAUGCGUAGAUAUAGGAAGGAACACCAGGGGCGAAGGCGACCACCUGGGCUCAGACUGACACUGAGGUGCGAAAGCGUGGGGAGCAAACAGG